AUACGGAGGAUCCGAGCGUUAUCCGGAUUUAUUGGGUUUAAAGGGUGCGCAGGCGGGAGAUUAAGUCGGCGGUGAAAUUUUGCAGCUCAACUGUAAAAGUGCCUUCGAAACUGGUUUCCUUGAGUGUAGAUGAAGUAGGCGGAAUUUGUGGUGUAGCGGUGAAAUGCAUAGAUAUCACGAGGAACUCCGAUUGCGCAGGCAGCUUACUAAACUACUACUGACGUUCAGGCACGAAGGCGUUGGGAUCAAACAGGAUUAGAUACCCUGGUAGUCCACGCAGUAAACGAUGAUUACUAGCUGUUUGCGAUACAAUGUAAGCGGCUGAGCGAAAGCGUUAAGUAAUCCACCUGGGGAGUACGUUCGCAAGAAUGAAACUCAAAUGAAUUGACGGGG
rnacentral:rRNA from 1 species